rnacentral:tRNA from 1 species
GAGAGUGUAGUUCAGUGGUACAGUGUGUGCCUAUUGUGUACAAGGCCCUAGGUUCAAAUCCUAACACCAUCC